rnacentral:lncRNA from 1 species
CCCAAAACACAUAACAAACAGAUAUGCCAGCGCCUAAACAUGUAUCAAAUCAAACAAAAUGUGCUAUGAAAAUCUUAAAAUAGUGAUUCAUAAUGUUACCUCUCAACUUUCACCACAGCUCUGGAAAAAUAAAAAUAUAGAUUGAAGAUUCUCAAACCCUAAAUCAAAAUAUAAACAAUAUUAUUAGCUUUGACUGAUUAAUGUUUGUGGUGGUGGUGAGGCGAGGAAGACAGAGGAUUGACGCUUGCUCUGAGUGAGAGAAUAAGUGAGGGGUAGAUCCUUCAAUUCUUGCGUAUGUGGCAAUAAGCGCUAAUCGCUAGAUUAUAAGCUAAAACUAAAAGUCAUAUUUGGUACCCGUUUUUUUAAAAACGAGUUUAUGGCUUAUUUUUCAAACGCUACCUGAUAUUAGUUUUUGUGGCACAACAAAUAAAAAUAAAAAUGGAAGUGACUCCAUUUUAUUUUAUUUUAUUUUUACAAAAAUUCAUUAAUUUUUUCUUGGAUUAAAUUUGAUUUGGCUUUAAUGCAGUUUUGAUCCCCUAUUUUGAAAAACCUGAACUUUUGAUCCCCUAUUUUAAAACUCAGCACUUUUGAUCCCCCUAUUUUAGUUUUUUGUUAGUUUUAGUCCCCCACCUCAAUUUGGUCAAACUUUUGCUUAUGUGUCAUGCUCACUGAUGACGUGGCAUUGUACAUGUGGAUAAACAAUUUCCUUAGAUAGUGUCCCGAGCCCCAAUCAUUUGCUUCUUUGAUUGCAGUGAUGUAAACACGAUCAUCUUUAAGAAAUCCCAUUGCAAAACAUGCAUCUCUAUAGGUCAAAUAUUGUGUGUCACCAAUUUUUCUGACAUCAUCAUAGUAAGUUGUCCACAUGUACAAUGUCACGUCAUCAGUGAGCAUGACACAUUAGCAAAAGUUUGACCAAAUUGAGGUGAGGGACUAAAACUAACAAAAAACUAAAUAGGGGGAUCAAAAGUGCUGAGUUUUAAAAUAGGGAGAUCAAAAGUUCAGAUUUUUCAAAAUAGGUGGAUCAAAACUGCAUUAAAGCCAUUUGAUUUUUUGUCAAACUCCCACUAUCCAAAUGUCUAGGGAUGACAAAAAAAUUUGUAACCGUAAAUAUUAUUUGUAGAUAAAAUCCGUCAUGGGCACUAGUGGAUAGUUUAACAGAUAUCUUUACGGAUAAAAUAAAUGAAUAUUUUAAUUAUUCAUAUUUAAUUAAUACAUAUGUGGGUUUAAUAUUAUCUGUUUGCGAAAAUGUUUAUAACCCGCUAAUAAAUUAGUAAAAAUGUUUAGUGGGACCAGUGGGGUGUUAAUUAAAAGCUUUUAGUAGUCUUUGUGAGCUUAACUCAGUUGGUAGGAACAUCGCACUAUAUGUGCAGGAGUCUGGAUUUUUGCUCUGCAAGUGUUGUAGGGUUUAACGAAUGAACUUUGUAGGUUUUGUCUUUGUUUCUUCUGGUUGGGCUAGUAUACCAGCAAACAAUGGUAUUCAACAAAUUAUCAGCACAUUUUUAACAUAUCACCACAUUUUUGAUGCAGUUUUAACAUGUCAACACACUUUAAUUAACAUACCAGCACAUUUUUAACACACCAACUUACUUUUAACAUACCAACACACUUUAAUAAUGGUAAAAUAAGAAUAUUUUAAAAUAUGUUGGGUAAAGAGAUAAAUAUAGGUGUAGAAAAAAAAAUCCUAAAUUUGAUUAGAUUUGACCUGAUGUAUUUUAGUCAGAGAUAUUUGGCUUGGCCCAAGUCUGUUUAGUGCAAGUGGUGUAUGACUUACAAUUAUGGUGUGAAUAGUACUUUGUCAAAAAAUGUAUUUUAUUAUUAAAUUUAAUAAAACAUUUUUUUAUUGACUUAAUUAAUCUAUUGGUCGUUUAAAGACAUUUUAGGUUUCACAAAGGUCCCUUAAUAAAAAAAAGGCAAAAUUACACUACAAGUCUUUUAUCUUAUUUUUUUGUAACAGUUUGGUCCUUUAUCUUUUUUUUGUAACAAUUUGGUCCUUUAUCUUUUUUUUUGUAACACUUUGGUCCUUAUCUUAUUUAUUUAUAAANNNNNNNNNNNNNNNNNNNNNNNNNNNNNNNNNNNNNNNNNNNUACAAAUAACAAAAGAUAAAGGACCAAAUUAUUACAAAAAAGAGGAUUAAAGUGUUACAAAUAAAAAACAUAAAGGACUAAAGUGUUACAAAUAAAAGAUAAAGGACCAAAGUGUUACAAAAAAAAAGAUAAAGGACCAAAAUGUUACAAAAAAAUAAGAUAAAGGACCUGUAGUGUAAUUUUGCCUAAAAAAAAGUUUGGAUUGGUCCUUUAAAGAAAAAAAGCUCGGAUUGGUUCCGUAAAAACAUAUAUGUUUGUCAUAUUGGUCCUUUCUGUUAAAUUUUAACUCCAAAUAAAACAAAAAAUUUCAAUGGUUAAAAUUUUAAAAAUUAAUAAGGUUUUUGGUAGAACACUUAACUUAAUGACAUCCACAAUUCAGUCAACAAAAACUAAAGUUUUUUUGUAAAAAAUUGAUGGAAAGGACAAAUGUGAGAAACAAGUGUGUCUUUAAGGGAUCAAUCCUAACAUUUUUUUCCUUAAGGAACCAUUGUGAAACCUAAAAUAUCUUUAAGGGACCAAUAUACUAAUUAAGCAUUUUUUAUUUGUGUAUUUGUUUUGCGAUGACUAUCAAACAAAAAUAUAUCAUUGUGAAAUUAGUUGUUUUUACUGUCUCAUUUUAUUAUUAUUUUUAUUUGACUGUUCAUCUGAUGUUUUAAUGGUACGAUUUGUCAAUUGUACUAUUUGUCAACUACUCUUAUUUUUUCAAUAAAACAAAUUAAUGCUAUAUAUUUGAACUAAAGAUUUUUUUUUUGAAUUUUUUUUGGUACAUGACAUUAAAUUUUGUUUUUUUUUGUAUAAUAUAUUAAAUUUAUAGGAAAGAGAAGUGUGUGCAAAAAAAUAGGAAUUUAUUGAUAGAUUAAAAUUAUGAUAUCAUAGGAAGAUAAGGUGCAUAAAUACACUUUCUUAAUUUGAUGUUACUAUUCUAAAAUGACAUUUAGGGCUCGAUUGGUUCGAGAUAGAUGAAGGGGAGGGAAGGGAGGGGAGGAGGGUAAUCUUGACAAAAAAAUAUUUCUUUUAUUAAAUCAAUUUUUAAAAAAAAAAACUUUGUUUUUAACCAAUCAAAUUUCCUUAAUAAUUGAGAUUUUUUGUUUUUAUUUUUAAUUUUUUUUCAAGAAUAAUUUUUUUUUGGAAAAAAGAUUUUAUAAAAAUAAAUCAUUUUUUUGUCAAGAAUAUCCCAUCACCUUCCCUCCCCUCCCCUUAUCUACUUCGAACCAAUCGAGCCCUUAAAAAAAUGGAGAGAGUAUUUAUUUAAAAAAAAAAGAUUCAGAAGAUAUAAGUUAUAAGUUUUCCUUAAAAAAAAAGUUAUAAGUUUGUCUUCAAAAGAAAUAAAUUUACAUAUACGGAAAAAAAAAACAUGCAUACGAUGAUAAAAAAAUUAAAUAAAAAAAUUAAUUUGCUUCCAAACCCUAAAACCACCCAUUGCCUUUCCAAACCCUAAAAUUUGGAGCACUUUAUAAAAGACCAAAUCCUCCCCAAUAGAACCUGAAUUUUCUUCCAAACCUGACGAUGCUCUGCUCUUUUGAUCUCUCUACUUGAAUUAUUGAUGUAGGAGGGUUUCCUUAGUAAUUUAUUAUUUUAGGUAGAUUUAGUUUUAUUAUAUUUUAGGUAGAUUUCUUAUUUUUAUAUUUCACCUAGAUUAGUUAUUUUUAUAUUUUAGGUAGAUUUGUUAUUUUUAUUUAGUUAGAUUUGUUAUUUUCUUUUACAAUCUUUUAGGAGAUUUGUUAUUUUUAUUUUUCACUCCUAUUUAAGGUAAACUAUUGUAGCCUUGAAGGCAACCUUUUGAUUUAAUAAAAAUACAGAGAUUUUUCUCAAAUUUGGUGGAUUCCAAAUUACUCCUUCGGGUGGAUUCCAGAAGUCUAGUGGAUUCUAGAUUAGUUACUCUUUCUGGUGGAUUCCGGAAAUCUGGUGGAUUCCAGAGCCUUAUCUGACAGGUUUGUCGCUUGCGAACCUGUGUUUUAUUAGCGCUUGUUUUUCCACGCUUCUGUACUGCGUCAAUUAUUGUAACAAAUUCCCUUUUUAGCAAAUAUUUCAAAUUUCUCCACUUUUUUAAUUAUGUUUAAGUUAUUUUUGGUGGUUAAUGAUUUCAUUAGUACCUCAAUUUCUAACAAAAUUUUCUAAGUGAGAUGGAGAUUCAAAAUCCCAUCUUCAAUAAUUCACACUCUUACCUUGAUUUAUAGUAGUAUUUUCUUAUUCCGAAUUUUAAAAAAGUAUUAAACUUUACUUAUUUUUUAUGGCAGAAAAUGGAAAGGGGAAAGAAGCGGAGUUAUAACGUGAUGGAUGAUGAACCUGUUACAUAUGAAUUUUGUGAGUUUUCUACCUUUAUUUUGUUACUAAUUACUACAUCUUUUCAUUCUUCUAAUGCUUGUUAAUUUCUACAGCCGAGAUCGAGAUUCAAAAUCUCAAAAUUGCUGCCAAAGAAAGACCUACGUUUCGUGGUGUCGAGAACUUAGAUGACAUCACUAAAGUUUCUGCCCUAAAGGCUGUAUCUUUUGUCGUUUCCCUCGUCUCAUUUUCUGGUAUAUUCUUUGUUUUUUUACUUAAUUAAGACUACGAAUUUCUAGUCCUUCAGUAAUUUUUGUGGUAAAAAUUGCCCCUAAAUUAACUUCGAUUACUCGUCUCAACUCUCAACACAAUUGAUAUAAUCGAGUAAAAAUUACCCUAUUGCUACCUUUCAUACAGGUGCCUCCCUAUUGAGUCAAAAUUGCGGAGCAAUUAUUGAAAGAGACAAUAAUACCAAUAUUGUAAUCACAUCACUCAAUUUAGCACGGGCUUGUGAUGAAACCGAUUGUGAUGAAACUGACUUUCGUAAAAACGAUUUGGCAGAUGAUUUAAAGGUGUUUAUUUUAUUUUAUGAUUUGUAUUCUUACUGUAUGAGUAUUAUUUUGUUUUCUAUUUGUUUGGUGUAUAAUGUAGUUUAAUAUUAUUUUGAAGGUGGUUGUUUAUGCUAGUGAUGGUAGUUGGUAUCUGGGAGAAAUAAUUUUUUCAGAUUUUUUCUACAAUUUGGCUGUUGUCAAGUUCCGUUCUAAAAGCUUUUUUGAGCCGGCAAAGUUAUCCAUGAUUGAUGACGCUAGUGUUUCGGAAACUGAUUUUCUUCGUCGUCAUUCAAGCAAAUCAAAACAUGGUGAUAACGUAAUUGUAGUUGGUCGUUAUUUUCAAGGGGAAAAUGAAUAUAUGGCCGCUCCGGGUGUGUUAAGGUAGAACUUUCUACCAUUUUUCUUAAACUUGUUCUUUUUGACAAUUGGUUUAAUAUUCUACCAUUUUUCUUAAACUUGCUCUUUUUAAAAAUAGACAUUCAAUUUUUGUUUGUAGUUUGAACCGGUUUAGUCCCGAGGAAUAUGAUUGUAACGAGCUUUUUACGAUAAGUUCUCGUUUUACUCGGGUAUGGGUUUAUUUAUAUUCAACUUUUUUUUCUAUUUAGAUUGAAGGGAAAUUUUACAAAAUUAAGAUUAACUGAGUUGAACUUUUUUUCUUGAUAGUGUGGGGAUGGAGCUUCCGUUAUAAGCACCUCAGGAGAAUUGAUUGGAAUUACUUUCNAUAUUUUGUUGGUUUAUUCUUUGAGACGAUGUUUGCUAAGUGUAUUUUGUACGGGUUUGCAUAUUAAAUAAUUGGUAUCAUUAAUACAUGAUUAAUUAUAGGAUUCAAAUGCACAAAAUAAUAGUUCCAAAUGUACCAAUUAAGGAUACUCUUGUAUAAAAAAAAUGCAUGUCAAUACAAGUACUAGAAUGUGUGAUUGUAUUAAGGAAGAUUAUCACGAUUUCAUGGAAAAGUCGUAUAAUAUUUGGAAUAAUGAAAUAAGGUUGUGACUUUAGUUAGUUAACUGUUUAUUUGUUAUGCUGGUGUAUGAUAUGGUGGGCAGUAUGUUUUGCCUUUACGCAAAUUAUUAUUUGUGAUGGAGAGUAUGGACGUUUUAUGGGAGACUGAGAAAUUGACACUCUAAUAAUCCUCUAUCUGAUAGGAUAUUAACACCCUAAUAAUUGUUGCUACUUUUGUAGAAGUAGGAUAUUAACACCCUGAUAAUCCUAUCUAAUAGGGAAAUGCACCACCCCUCUUAUGGUUUUGAUGCUAAGAAUGUUCGCUUCGCCCUACUGCCUACGCUUGAGAGGUUUCGGAGAUUAUUUCCAAAUGUUCCAAAUGGUCUUAUAGUUGAAAAGGUAUGUAUAACCAACUAUGGAUAAAAUGCUAGAAUUUUUAAUUGAAAUUUAGGAAAGGUAAUCCGAAUGGCUUUAAUGUCCAAAACAAUCAUUUUAUUAGGUAUUCGAAGAUUAUAAUGCCGAGUCGGCGGGGCUGCAAGUUGGUGAUGUAAUCUUUACUUGUGAUGGAAUUGAAAUAAAAAGUUUCUUACAGGUAUGUUUUACUUAGUUUUAUUCAAUGUUUUGAUUGAUUGUUACAAAUGAAAUGGAAUUUGAAAUAAAAUUAAGGAAUCUGAGAUGUACACCCUAAUUCAUAAGAUAAUAAUGACUUAUUUUUCUUAAUGUAACAGUUGUGGGAGCUUAUGUUUGCAAAAGUUGGAAAAGAAGUCGAGCUUGAAGUGGCUAGUGUGGAUCUUAAAGUUAUCAAGAAUAUUCGUUUGCUAAUAGGUGAAGCCUCAAUUGAUGAAGAGAUUUAUCGGUAUGUCAUGUUCAUGUUAAUAUUUUCAUUUUUCAAUUUGUUUAAUUUUUUUGUUUAAAUUGCAUCUUCGUGAUUGUAUAUUCUUUAUGAUGGAAACUGAUUCAUUUUAACGUCUUUUUUUGUUAGGUGGCCGCAAUAUGACUACCGUUGAAGUUGUCAAGGUUGUGAAAGAUGUGAAGUUGGAGGAGUAAUUUAUCUAUUGGGACUUUGUUGUGUUAAAUGAUUUAAGUACUUUAACUUAAAGCUAUGUUGCUGUCAAAAAAACCUUUAUCUAUGUGGAAAACCCGUCUGGGUUUACUUGACUUGUAUUAAAUCACUUGUGUUUAUUUUCACAGUGAUGACAUACUUUUACUUCAUAAAUCCACACAAGUGUAAAUCCAUAAUACAGCCCUACAACUAUUAUCUGGGAAUCACGCAUUCAAACUCCGUAAGUAAAUUCCAAAGCCAACGUGGCUCACGUACGACAUACACAAUAUUACGCGGUAAAUCAUGCAUAUUUUCUAACUCAAACCAUACUUUCAAAAUAUAAGGAUAUUAGAAUGAUGACAAGGUGAGUAAUUGAUGGCAUAGUAUAGUAUAGUAUAGUAUAGUAUAGUAUAGUAGUAUGAUGACAAGGAGUAAAUACAUUUCUUUAAAAUUAACAGAAUAAUAGCACAAACGGAUCAUUCAGUAUCAAAAACAUUCAGUACUUGUCUAUAAGGUACCCUGAAUCUUCUAUUCUCAUAUUUCAUCAACCAGCAAAGGAACCAAAACAGAGGACUCAAACAAAAACUAGCAGCCCAAAACACAUAACAAACAGAUAUGCNNNNNNNNNNNNNNNNNNAAUGUUACCUCUCAACUUUCACCACAGCUCUGGAAAAAUGAAAAUAUAGAUUGAAGAUUCUCAAACCCUAAAUCAAAAUAUAAACAAUAUUAUUAGCUUUGACUGAUUAAUGUUUGUGGUGGUGGUGAGGCAAGGAAGACAGAGGAUUGACGCCUGCUCUGAGUGAGAGAAUAGUAAAGUGAAGUGAGUGUUUGGUUGCACGGUAGAUCCUU